UGGCUAAAGUGCCUGCCUUGUAAGCAGAAGAUCCUGGGUUUAAAUCCCAGUGGUGCCUUGCUGUAGCC
rnacentral:miRNA from 1 species